rnacentral:ribozyme from 1 species
AGCUCAGCAACUUUUAUCCCUACCUCCACGUGCAUGUCAUGUGGUACCGGCCGGGCUGCGAACAGCCUUAGGGAAGAUCGGGUAACCAACCCCGGUGAGAACUGUGGUCGUAGGCUGACAAGGAAGA